rnacentral:rRNA from 1 species
AACGAACGCUGGCGGCAGGCUUAACACAUGCAAGUCGAACGCCCGUAGCAAUACGGGAGUGGCGGACGGGUGAGUAACGCGUGGGAACGUACCCUGAGGUACGGAAUAACCGAGGGAAACUUCGGCUAAUACCGUAUGAGCCCCGCAAGGGGGAAAGAUUUAUCGCCUUGGGAGCGGCCCGCGUCGGAUUAGCUAGUUGGUGGGGUAACGGCCUACCAAGGCUUCGAUCCGUAGCUGGUCUGAGAGGACGAUCAGCCACACUGGGACUGAGACACGGCCCAGACUCCUACGGGAGGCAGCAGUGGGGAAUCUUGCGCAAUGGGGGCAACCCUGACGCAGCCAUGCCGCGUGAACGAUGAAGGCCUUAGGGUUGUAAAGUUCUUUUACCCGUGACGAUGAUGACGGUAACGGGGGAAUAAGCUCCGGCUAACUUCGUGCCAGCAGCCGCGGUAAGGUGACGCUCU